rnacentral:rRNA from 1 species
GAUGAACGCUGGCGGCGUGCCUAAUACAUGCAAGUCGAGCGAAUGGAUUGAGAGCUUGCUCUUAUGAAGUUAGCGGCGGACGGGUGAGUAACACGUGGGUAACCUGCCCAUAAGACUGGGAUAACUCCGGGAAACCGGGGCUAAUACCGGAUAACAUUUUGAACCGCAUGGUUCGAAAUUGAAAGGCGGCUUCGGCUGUCACUUAUGGAUGGACCCGCGUCGCAUUAGCUAGUUGGUGAGGUAACGGGUCACCAAGGCAACGAUGCGUAGCCGACCUGAGAGGGUGAUCGGCCAGACUGGGACUGAGACACGGCCCAGACUCCUACGGGAGGCAGCAGUAGGGAAUCUUCCGCAAUGGACGAAAGUCUGACGGAGCAACGCCGCGUGAGUGAUGAAGGCUUUCGGGUCGUAAAACUCUGUUGUUAGGGAAGAACAAGUGCUAGUUGAAUAAGCUGGCACCUUGACGGUACCUAACCAGAAAGCCACGGCUAACUACGUGCCAGCCGCCGCGGUAA